GGGGCCGUAGCGUAGUUGGGAGCGCACAACACUGGCAGUGUUGGGGUCGAGGGUUCGAAUCCCUCCGGCUCCA
rfam:Omnitrophica WOR_2 bacterium RBG_13_44_8b RBG_13_scaffold_3299, whole genome shotgun sequence.